ensembl:lncRNA
UUUGAACAUCACUUUCCUUGUAACAUUAAUUCAAUGCAAUUAGCAUUUGCGCAUUAACACUGACUUAAUAUGUUUCAAUGAUUUCUUGUUAUCUGGGGAGCGUUUUGAGCCUCCUUUCAGCAGGAACGGAAUAGAGAUUGUAUAGUCAAAAAUAAAGUAUUAGGAUGAAGAGGGAAUUUUCAACUUUUUUUUCAAUCGGGAAUUUGCCCAUUCUAGCACAACAAGAAAUUAUGAUGUUAUCUUAUUAGGAAAAUACCUUAUGCUUAGAAACAGGGCCGAAGUGGGGCCUGUUUUCGGUCCAUGAUUUUAAUGCCCAAGACCAGCCCAGUUAUUUACAGAUAAACAACAAAUAACACACUGAACUUUUUUAGAAAACAUUCUACAGUCAAACUUUUUAAUAGGCACAGUGAAAAAUGCUGCAUAUACAAAUUAAAAAGUCAAAUAAAUAAAAAUGAAUAUCAGAUAUGGAUUAAACAAUGUGUGCUCAUAUAUAAAGUGUCAUAAACACCACUGUAUAAAAAGUACCAAAAGUAAAUGGAGCAGACCAAAUCUAUUUUGGGAGUCCACUUUGAAAAACCCGUAAAUAAACACACCUGAACAAGUUAAUCAGGGUCUUCAAGAUUAUGGCUACUAUACAGGCAGGUGAGUUUCAGGGUUGGAGUUGCGCCAGACUUUGGAUCUUUAAAAAUGUGGUUUCAAAAAGAGCUUUAAAAGCCUCCUGACUCACCAAUUCAGUGCGUUUUUCCAGCAGACUCCAUUGUGAGACCGCAGGUCGAGAGGAUGACAGCUCGAGUGUGCUGCGCGUUGAUCGUUGUUUUGUUGUGUCUCUCUGUAUGCUUGAGCACAACAGAUGCCAGGAGACUUGUCACAGUAAAACAAACCGUUCAGUUGGAUGAAGAAUUUAUAGAUGGCAGUGGCAUGGGUGGCAUUAGAGAAGAGCUGCAAAAGGAACAUUUAUUGGACACUGUGAACGUGGCCAAGGUGUGUGCCCAUUACAGUGACUGUCCAAACAAUGAGAAGUGCUGCAGAACUAAAUGUGCACUUGAAUGUACACCUCUAUAUGAAUGGGCCCUGGUCCAUGACUCGGACUGAUGUGCUGAGAACUAAUCCAUGAUGAUCAAUGUCCUGCCAGACAGAAGUUUUGCCCAACCACCUGUGGCCAUGCAUGCAGCUAACCAUGUCAAUUUAGCCAUUAAGAAUAAGUCCACGAUUUGUUGGUUGUGUUUUCUUUUUUCUUUUCUUUUUUUCCUCCAUGCUGUACUUGAGGUCUUUUACAUUCAUAAAAAAUCUCAGUUUAGUAAAACUUCUGUGUGUAUGUUGUUGGGGUGUGUGGCAUGGAUGUACCUAAUGCAAAUGAAAGUCAGUCUCCAGUUGACUAGCAGAGAUGAUAAAAGGUGAUUGUAAUGCCAAUAAUACCCUGUGUGGGAGUCCUGUCACUGAAUUUAAUGGUACCAUAAUUGAGGAAAUAAUGGAUGAACUGGGAUUAGUUUGUCUUAAUAAUGGUAGCAGUACAAGACUGGAUGUAGAGGAUAAUUUUAACUGCUGUAUUUUUCUGUUUGCUUGGUUUUUAUUUUGUGUUUAUGUAACUCAUGUAUUAUUGGAACUCAUUUUUUGCCAUGAAGAUUAGAUGCUGACAUGCCAAUAAAAAUAAAGAACUACUGGAUGUAAUGGUCA